GCAACAUCUUCAAGAUUCAGA
rnacentral:miRNA from 3 species